CACGUAGGGCGCAAGCGUUGUCCGGAAUUAUUGGGCGAAAGAGCUCGUAGGCGGUCCGUCACGUCCGCUGUGAAAACCCCAGGGCUCAACCCUGGGCUUGCAGUGGAUACGGGCAGACUAGAGGUAGGUAGGGGAGAAUGGAAUUCCCGGUGUAGCGGUGAAAUGCGCAGAUAUCGGGAGGAACACCGGUGGCGAAGGCGGUUCUCUGGGCCUUACCUGACGCUGAGGAGCGAAAGCGUGGGGAGCGAACAGG
rnacentral:rRNA from 1 species